rnacentral:rRNA from 1 species
AUUGAACGCUGGCGGCAGGCCUAACACAUGCAAGUCGAGCGGAGCGGCGGACGGGUGCGUAAUGCCUAGGAAUCUGCAUGGUAGUGGGGGAUAACGUCCGGAAACGGGCGCUAAUACCGCAUACUAUCAGAUGAGCCUAGGUCGGAUUUGCUAGUUGGUGGGGGAAAGGCCUACCAAGGCGACGAUCCGUAACUGGUCCGAGAGGAUGAUCAGUCACACUGGGACUGAGACACGGCCCAGACUCCUACGGGAGGCAGCAGUGGGGAAUUUUGGACAAUGGGCGAAAGCCUGAUCCAGCCAUGCCGCGUGUGUGAAGAAGGUCUUCGGAUUGUAAAGCACUUUAAGUUGGGAAGCGGUACCAAAAGAAUAAGCACCGGCUAACUUCGUGCCAGCAGCCGCGGUAAUUC